rnacentral:rRNA from 1 species
GAUGAACGCUGGCGGCGUGCCUAAUACAUGCCAGUCGAGCGAACAGACGAGGAGCUUGCUCCUCUGACGUUAGCGGCGGACGGGUGAGUAACACGUGGAUAACCUACCUAUAAGACUGGGAUAACUUCGGGAAACCGGAGCUAAUACCGGAUAAUAUAUUGAACCGCAUGGUUCAAUAGUGAAAGACGGUUUUGCUGUCACUUAUAGAUGGAUCCGCGCCGCAUUAGCUAGUCGGUAAGGUAAUGGCUUACCAAGGCAACGAUGCGUAGCCGACCUGAGAGGGUGAUCGGCCACACUGGAACUGAGACACGGUCCAGACUCCUACGGGAGGCAGCAGUAGGGAAUCUUCCGCAAUGGGCGAAAGCCUGACGGAGCAACGCCGCGUGAGUGAUGAAGGUCUUCGGAUCGUAAAACUCUGUUAUUAGGGAAGAACAAAUGUGUAAGUAACUAUGCACGUCUUGACGGUACCUAAUCAGAAAGCCACGGCUAACUACGUG